UCCAAAAUGUCAGCUGAGACACCUCUCCAGG
rnacentral:piRNA from 2 species